UACAGGGGGGGCAAGCGUUGUUCGGAAUUACUGGGCGUAAAGGGCUCGUAGGCGGCCAACUAAGUCACACGUGAAAUCCCCAGGCUUAACCUGGGAACUGCGUGUGAUACUGGAUGGCUUGAAUUCGGGAGAGGGAUGCAGAAUUCCAGGUGUAGCGGUGAAAUGCGUAGAUAUCUGGAGGAAUACCGGUGGCGAAAGCGGCACACUGGAUCUCAACUGACGCUGAGGCACGAAAGCCAGGGGAGCGAACGGG
rnacentral:rRNA from 1 species